rnacentral:rRNA from 1 species
CCUACGGGGGGCAGCAGUGAGGAAUAUUGGUCAAUGGGCGCGAGCCUGAACCAGCCAAGUAGCGUGAAGGAUGACUGCCCUACGGGUUGUACACUUCUUUUAUAAAGGAAUAAAGUGCGGCACGUGUGCCUUUUUGUAUGUACUUUAUGAAUAAGGAUCGGCUACCUCCGUGCCAGCAGCCGCGGUAAUACGGAGGAUCCGAGCGUUGUCCGGAUUUAUUGGGGUUAAAGGGAGCGUAGGUGGGUUGUUAGGUCAGUUGUGAAAGUUUGCGGCUCAACCGUGAAAUUGCAAUUGAUACUGGCAGUCUUGAGUACAGUUGAGGUAGGCGGAAUUCGUGGUGUAGCGGUGAAAUGCUUAGAUAUCACGAAGAACUCCGAUUGCGAAGGCAGCUUACUAAACUGCCACUGACAUUGAUGCUCGAAAGUGUGGGGAGCAAACAGGAUUAGAUACCCUUGUAGUC